CCUUUAGUUCAUUUGCAAGAGAGAAGGCCUAGAAAGUCAGUCCAUUAGCAGUUUCAUUUUUUUUCAGGGGUCCAGAAGGCUAAAAGGUGGGGGAGAAGGAAGCCGAACCUCUAAUCGACCUGGACACAUAAAUAAUUCUCGGCGUCGAGAGAGAUUUGAGAUUCCGUAAGUAACUCAGUGAGUGCUUUCUAAGAAGGGCUUGGAAGAAGAAAAUGAAAUAGGAACAACCGCGCUGGUCGUAAUAGAUCGACUUUCAUG
rnacentral:lncRNA from 1 species